rnacentral:rRNA from 1 species
UACGUAGGGUCCGAGCGUUGUCCGGAAUUAUUGGGCGUAAAGGGCUCGUAGGCGGUCCGUCACGUCGGGAGUGAAAACUCAGGGCUCAACCCUGAGCGUGCUUCCGAUACGGGCGGACUAGAGGUAUGCAGGGGAGAACGGAAUUCCUGGUGUAGCGGUGGAAUGCGCAGAUAUCAGGAGGAACACCGGUGGCGAAGGCGGAUCUCUGGGCCUUACCUGACGCUCAGGUGCGAAAGCUAGGGGAGCGAACAGG